CCUACGGGAGGCAGCAGUGGGGAAUCUUGCGCAAUGGGCGAAAGCCUGACGCAGCGACGCCGCGUGCGGGAAGAAGGCCUUCGGGUUGUAAACCGCUUUCAGGAGGGACGCGGUACCUCCAGAAGAAGCCCCGGCUAACUACGUGCCAGCAGCCGCGGUAAUACGUAGGGGGCAAGCGUUGUCCGGAUUUAUUGGGCGUAAAGAGCGUGUAGGCGGCCAGAUAGUCUGCUGUGAAAACUCGAGGCUCAACCUCGAGCUGUCGGCGGAAACUAUUUGGCUAGAGUCCGGAAGAGGAAAGCGGAAUUCCUGGUGUAGCGGUGAAAUGCGCAGAUAUCAGGAAGAACACCCGUGGCGAAGGCGGCUUUCUGGGACGGACUGACGCUGAGACGCGAAAGCGUGGGGAGCGAACAGGAUUAGAUACCCUUGUAGUC
rnacentral:rRNA from 1 species